GCGGGUGUAGCUCAGCUGGUAGAGCGCUACCUUGCCAAGGUAGUUGUCGACGGUUCGAUCCCGUUCACCCGCUCCA
rnacentral:tRNA from 4 species